AGAGUUUGAUCAUGGCUCAGCGCGAACGCUGGCGGCAUGGCUAAAACAUGCAAGUCGAACGCGAAUCCACCUUCGGGUGGUAGUAGAGUGGCGAACGGGCGAGUAAUGCGUUUCUAACGUACCCCAGAGUCGAGGAUAGCUCACCGAAAGGUGUGGUAAUACUUGAUAACCCCAUCGAGUCGCAUGGCAUGAUGGGCAAAGGCUUGCUGCUCUGGGAUCGGGAAAUGUGGUAUCAGGUUGUUGGUGGGGUAAUGGCCUACCAAGCCUUAGACGCCUAGCGGGUGUGAGAGCAUGACCCGCCGCAUCGGAACUGAGACACUGUCCGGACUCCUACGGGAGGCUGCAGUAACGAAUCUUCCGCAAUGCACGAAAGUGUGACGGAGCAAUGCCGCGUGCAGGAUGAAGCCCCUCGGGGUGUAAACUGCUGUCAGGGUUUAGGAAUAAAUGACCAGACCCAAAGGAAGGGCCGGCUAACUCUGUGCCAGCAGCCGCGGUAAUACAGAGGGCCCGAGCGUUGCGCGGAUUCAUUGGGCUUAAAGCGUACGCAGGCGGACUCGUAAGUGCCUUGUGAAAGCCCACGGCUCAACCGUGGAAUUGCAGGGCAUACUGCGAGUCUUGAGGCCAGUAGGGGCUGCAGAACUCUAGGUGUAGCGGUGAAAUGCGUAGAUAUCUAGAGGAAUGCCGAUGGUGAAGACGGGCAGCUGGGCUGGUUCUGACGCUCAGGUACGAAAGCGUGGGGAGCAAACAGGAUUAGAUACCCUAGUAGUCC
rnacentral:rRNA from 1 species